CACAUACUAUUGUUAUUUAACACUGUAAAUUACAGUAAUUAGUGGUUUGGGAUGCAUUAAAAAAAACGGAGGUAUUAACCAAUGGGUAGCAGUAACUUCGCUCUGUGUUGCAAAGGUCACUCAAAUCAGGAACUAACAUAUGCUGUCAUUUAUCUCAACCACUAUUGCGGCUAUGAGGAUCCUGUCAGCAAUGGAAGGCUAAGGAAGGAAAACGGAUCACAGCGCCACCAUACAUGACUUCCUGAAGCAAAAUGGGCGACGUCAUACCAGGGAAGCCAUGUGAUUUUUUUGUAACCUCAUUGUUUUGAAGCAGAGAUAAAAUUGAUACUCCGUGCUCACUGCUCGAGCCUGCCAGUGGAGGGUCUUUAGCCAAUGGGAUUGCUCAGGUGAAGUGACAUCAUCUCCCAAAUCCGUGGUGUGACUGGAGUGUGCAUCAUCACAGUGCUAUGUGAAUAGUUAAUGAGAACACUGGCCAGGUACCAAUCAGGACUCAGGACAGAGAUUACUCCAGGGACUGGCUUAAGAAAUCAAUAAUGCACGCACGCACGCACACACACACACACACACACAGGGCCUGAGCAAAUUGACUGUCUCUGCUCUGAACAGGCUGCUAUAGUAGCACAAAUACAACCAACCCUCUGAACACCUGUCAAAGAUACACGGCUGGUAAACAAGCCUAGCACAUGGCUGGCUAAAGGAUGAUGUCACCUUUUUGAUUACAUUUCUUUUAGAUUCGUUUGAAAUUGCUUUUAGAUUAGUUUGAGAGAGAGAUUUGUUCGAAAGAAAUAUCUUCGGUCAUCCUCAUGGCCAUGUGUAUUCCCCCUCAAGCCGACACCUCGACGGCUUUCAAGGAACUACAGUGGACUGUGUGCAAACUGGAAACCACAUAUCCUGAGGCCGCAUGUAUUGUAGCUGGGGAAUUUAAUAAAGCAAAUUGGAGGAAAAUGCUACUGAAGUUUAUCAACAAAUCUCCUUCGCUACACGCUCUUCGAGUACUCUUGACCAUUACUACUCCCCUUCGGCAAAUCAGAUCACGCCUCUAUUCUGCUCCUCCCCUCCUAUCUCUUCCUAUCCCAGACUGCUGUCCAUUUGUCCUGUACCCAAGAAAGCGAAGAUAACUGAAGAAAAUGAACAUCGCCCCAUAGUACUCAUUUCUGUCAUCAUGGCUAGAUAUCACCUCUACCUUACCCGAUACCCUAGAUCCACUACAAUUUGCAUACCGCUCCAACAGAUCCACGGAUGACACAUUCGCCAUCGCACUGCACACU